GACGGGCGAGGUCGGAAAGGCUCCCGACGCUCCCGCGAGGGAAUCUGAGAUGCAGGAUACGCCUCCCUGCCGUUGCU
rnacentral:ncRNA from 1 species